GACGAACGCUGGCGGCGCGCUUAACACAUGCAAGUCGAACGGAAAGGCCUGCUUUCCCUUGUGGAUUGCGGGUACUCGAGUGGCGAACGGGUGUGUAACACGUGAGUGAUCUGCCCCCAACUUGGGUAUAAGCCUGGGAAACUGGGUCUAAUUCCCGAUAGGACUGCAGGGUGGUGCCUGUGGUGGAAAACGAUUUUCUAGUGGUUGGGGAUGAGCUCGCGGCCUAUCAGCUUGUUGGUGGGGUAAUGGCCUACCAAGGCGGCGACGGGUAGCCGGCCUGGGAGAGUGGACGGCAGCAGUGGGACGGAGAUACGGCCCAGACUACUACGGGAGGCAGCAGUGGGGAAUAUUGCACAAUGGGCGGAAGCCUGAUGCAGCGACGCCGCGUGGGGGAUGACGGCCUUCGGGUUGUAAACUCCUUUCGACCGCGAGGAAGCCACCUGGUUGGAAGGGUGGUGACGGUAGUGGUAGAAGAAGCACCGGCUAACUACGUG
rnacentral:rRNA from 1 species